AGGGUUUGAUCCUGGCUCAGGGUUAACGCUGGCGGCGUGCCUUACACAUGCAAGUCGAACGGGGCUAUCAGCGAUGGUAGCCUAGUGGCGAACGGGUGAGGAAGACGCAGGGACCUACCGACCAGAGGGGGAUACCCGCUGGAAACGGCGGAUAAAACCGCAUACGCCCGGGUGAAAGCCCGGGGAAAAGCACUACGGUGUUACUGGACGAGGGACCUGCGGCCCAUCAGGUAGUUGGGGAGGUAACGGCUCACCAAGCCGACGACGGGUAUCUGGCGUGAGAGCGCGAACAGGCACAAGGACACUGAGAGACGGGUCCUACUCCUACGGGAGGCAGCAGUGGGGAAUAUUGGACAAUGGGCGAAAGCCUGAUCCAGCGACGCCGCGUGUCGGAAGGAGUCCUUCGGGAUGUAAACGACUUUUGGUGGAGACGAAUAAGCAGCUCAGGGAAUGGGGCUGUGAUGACGGUAUCCAUGGAAUAAGCCCCGGCUAACUACGUGCCAGCAGCCGCGGUAAGACGUAGGGGGCAAGCGUUACCCGGAAUUACUGGGCGUAAAGGGAGCGUAGGCGGGAGGUCAAGUCCGGUGUGAAAGACCCUGGCUCAACCAGGGAUGAGGGCUGGAAACUGACAAUCUUGAGUACAGCAGAGGAAGAGGGAAUUACCGGUGUAGGGGUGAAAUCCGUAGAGACCGGUAAGAAGGCCAGUGGCGAAGGCGCUUUUCUGGGCUGUUACUGACGCUGAGGCUCGAAAGCCAGGGGAGCAAACCGGAUUAGAUACCCGGGUAGUCCUGGCCGUAAACGAUGCUCACUAGGUGUGGGGCGCAUAGCGUGCUCUGCGCUGAAGCAAACGCAAUAAGUGAGCCGCCUGGGGAGUACGUCCGCAAGGAUGAAACUCAAAGGAAUUGACGGGGGCCCGCACAAGCGGAGGAGCAUGUGGUUUAAUUCGAUGGUACGCGAGGAACCUUACCUGGGUUAGAACGUAUGAUAGAUGUAGCUGAAAGGUUACAGGCCUGCGAGGGAUAUCAUACGAGGUGCUGCAUGGUUGUCGUCAGCUCGUGCCGUGAGGUGUUUGGUUAAGUCCAGCAACGAGCGCAACCCCUACCUUUAGUUGCCAGCAGGUAAAGCUGGGGACACUAGAGGGACUGCCUGCGCAAGCAGAGAGGAAGGUGGGGAUGACGUCAAAUCAGCACGGCCCUUACGUCCAGGGCUACACACGUGCUACAAUGGCCGGUACAGAGGGCAGCGACCUGGUGACAGGUAGCGAAUCUCCAAAGCCGGUCUCAGUUCGGAUCGGAGUCUGCAACUCGACUCCGUGAAGCUGGAUUCGCUAGUAAUCGCGCAUCAGCCAUGGCGCGGUGAAUACGUUCCCGGGCCUUGUACACACCGCC
rnacentral:rRNA from 1 species